GGGAUGAUUAGAUGAGGUUUCCAUGUGUGUGUCUUCGGGAGCAUCUUCUCCUGUGGGAUCAUAGCCAGUUUUUCACUGCGAGUGGUUAUCUAAAGUAAAGGUAAACGAGGGUGACAGAUCGAUGAGGGCGCUCCUGCUUAUCGGUUAUACCCUUCGACCCCUGUUUUAGCAGCUAGCGAAAAGGCUUCGUUCUGCUGUUCCCCGUGAGUGGUCUAAAUCAGCUGCGGUAGUUAAGGUUUGGAACAAAUGAGCCUAAGGGAACGAAGUUGUGAGCCUUUAGUAAUAUAUGAAUAAGAGAUAUUUGAAAUAAUAAAACCUGAUGGUUCCUGUCCUGAAACGAAGGAUGCGAAGAAAGUACUGCCGCCUGUCAUCAUGCUCAAUCAGUAAUAAGUUG
rnacentral:lncRNA from 1 species